rnacentral:rRNA from 1 species
CAUGUCCUUUAGAUUUUAAUUUAAGGUCUGAUCUGCUCAAUGAUUAUUAAAUAGCCGCAGUAUUUUGACUGUGCGAAGGUAGCAUAAUAAUUAGUUUUUUUAUUGAAAGCUGGAAUGAAUGAUUUGACGAAGGAUUGACUGUCUCUUUAAAAUUUAUUUUGAAUUUAACUUUUAAGUGAAAAGGCUUAACUUAUCUUUAAAGACGAGAAGACCCUAUAGAGUUUAACAUAUUUAUUUCAGGUGAUUAUUUGGAAUUUAUUAAUUUUUUGAUUAGUUUGUUUGGUUGGGGUGAUUAGAAGAUUAAAUAAACUCUUCCAUGUUUCUCUACUAAUUAGUAAUCUUUUUUUCUAUAAUUUUUAAGUUUAAAUUAAAUUACCUUAGGGAUAACAGCGUUAUUUUCCUUUAGAGUCCUUAUCAAUAGGAAAGUUUGCGACCUCGAUGUUGGAUUAAAAUUUAAGCUAGGCGCAGUAGCUUAUGCAAUUAAGUCUGUUCGACUUUUGAAAUUUUACAUGAUCUGAGU